CAGAGUGCUUUGUCCGAGCUCAAAAAAGCCGUUUCCACGGAAGCGGCCCUUCCGCUCGGAGCCCGGCGGCCUGGAGGGAGGCCCGGCGGGGAUGCGAGGAUUCCGCCCCAGCCCCAGAGGACGCGGCGGAGAGCCUGGAGGAGGCGCUUUGAGAGUCGAGGUCUCCCGCCCGCGCGCCUCCCUGGCGCAGACCUCUUUUAACUUUUUGGCGUGGAGUGCGCGUCCUGACGUGCCCCCUGAGCUACAGCUUACUGAGCUUUACUGGCUUCGCCGACAGCCGUCCCCAGGUGGAGAGACCGCGCGUCGCGCGCUGCCCGGGCCCCGCAGGGCCUGGCGCCUGGGGCCCUUGCGCCGCUUUGGGGCGAGGGAAUCACACCGCGGGCUCCCGGAGCUUGGCGUCUUCCACGCGGCGCUGUGUGUCAUCCACGCAGUGUGCUCUCGCUGCCGUGUUCAGGUCACUGCGAGGGUGAGCCCCGCUUUAUCUACCCCUUCUGCUGUUGAUGGGCACUCGUCUGGGGCUAGAAGGGAUAAGGUUGCUGUGAGCGUUCUCGUGUGUUUUUGGUGCACGCGCACACACAUUUCUCUGGGGUGCAGACCUGUCUAGUAGUGGAACUGCUGUUUCCCAGCACUUUGGAGCAAAGCCCUGUUGCAGUCUGAAGCGGAAAAGGCAGACGGGCCUUCCAUGUUCGUGAUUCCAGCCAGGCACAGAAGGGAAGGACAGGGACAGCAGCCGUACGGAGGCGAGGAGGGACACUGGGCGCUGCUGUCCCCUCUCCUCAGGGGCAGCCAGUCCUCUUGUGGACGCAGGUGUGGUCACCAGAAGGGAAGGACAGCAGAGGACUCUUCAGGGACCUUCCUGGAUCCCCCUGCAAUGGGAGUGGCCUACUUGCUUGACUUGAGGGUGAGACUUGGUCAGCCCUUGACUGUAGGGGGCAGGACCAUGGGCUUCAGUGGGGCAGCACCCAUGACCCACGCCUCUGCUUCCAUUCCCUGCUUGCUGCCCGGGCCUCUGGUCAGGGGAGUCUAGUCUCCCUUCCCAGGCUUCCAAUGCCUCGCCCCCUGCUGUGGUAAGGAUUCGCGCUGGUCCCUAUUUAUUAAUCAGGGAACUUGGGGUUCCAGUUUUCUCCCCUUCUCUGCAUCUCAUCCCCUUGAGAGCCCCCUGGAGCAGAGGAUAACGCACGAGGGGACUGGCUGUGUAUAUUUUGAUAACAAUAUCAAAAUACUGUCAAAUACUAAACGGAAAAGAAAUAGGAAAACAUUGAACUUUAUUAAAAUGAACUUCAAAAGACACCAUUAAGAGUAAAAAGAUGACUCACAAAAAAGUUGCCUUUUGUUCAGUAAACGACUCAGGACCAGAAAAUAUGAAGAACCCCUACAACAAGAAAAAUAUAGAUAGCUCAGUUAAAAAUUGACAAAAGUCUUGAAAAGAUAUUUCACAAAAGGAGAGAUCCAGACAGUCAAUCCACACACGAAAGGGUACUUAGCAUCAGGGAACUGCAAAUAGUGACAUUCGAUUCCAUAUCACAGCCACUGGAUGGCUAAAAUAGCAACGCCAAGUGCUGAUGAGACUGUGGAACAACCAGCUGGGCUCUCAUCCCCUGCUGAUGGGAGAGUGGAUUGGAGCAACCACGUGGAAACAUCUAAUGGAGCCUCUCCUGAGAUGGCAAACAGGAGGUCUGGAUCAAUCCUACAGUGUCGGCAAAUGUCUGGAUUACCCUGCAAGACCAGUGAGGAUCCUUCAGCCACUGGGGGAAAGGCUCUGCUGACACAGCAACAGCGAGCAGGGGGCGCCAGCCAGCCCGCUGGCCGUGCAGUGUUCCAGCGGCAGGCGUAGUUUUCUCCCACCUCUCAUGGACAUUGAGUGCACCUUGUGUAUGCUAUGGACAUGCCCAGCCGCUGGAGAUGGGAGGGGAGGGGGUAAGAAGGGAAGCCAUUGUGCCGGGACCCUGAGGCCAUUGAGGUGGGGUUUGGUGUCUCACCAAACGGAAGCCACAUUGUUCUGAAUUGCACCUCUGAUGGCUAGGCCAAAUGCUCAUUCUGUUUAACAUCAUUGCUGCAGUCUGUAGCAAAACCCUUAACGUUACAAAGGAAGAGAUAGAGCCACUUCAAACCGUGAAAGGAAAAGAGAUACCACAGUUAAGUCCGCCUGUCUUGGCCAACGGAGUUCAGUCUUUGGGCUUUCCAGCAACAAAAGAUGCCUUCAGUUGCCCCAGGGUUUUACUCCAGUCCCCGGCAACAGCUAGAUCUCCAUGAAGGGAAACAGCCAAUAUUUUUUUUACUUGCAGGAAAGGGAGGCAUGACAGCUCCACAUCUGUGUUCACCCUUGUGGAUCCCAGGUGAGACUCCAGAUGAAAUGGGAGAGUUCUCUGACCCCCUCACAGGACAUGUGACAGGAGUGUGGCUAGUCUGUUCAGCCUCCACCACUGCUGAAACACCUUAUGGGAGGGGGAGCAUGCAGAUGGGCAAGCGCAGGUGCCACGGCCACCGCUUUUGGGCUUCAACCCCAUGGUGGCAUCUAGGGGUGUGUGUCUGUGACUCCUGAAGCCCCAGUGUGUGUGCUCCAGUGCUCUUUUAGCUCUGCUGUCUGUCAGGCCUCUGAGCCCAAGCUAAGCCAUCAGAUCCCCUGUGACCUGCACGUAUACAUCCAGACGGCCUGAAGCAACUGAAGAACCACAAAAGAAGUGAAAAUAGCCAGUUCCUGCCUUAACUGAUGACAUUCCACCAUUGUGAUUUGUUCCUGCCCCACCCUAACUGAUCAAUUGGCCUUGUGACAUUCCUUCUCCUGGGCAACGAGUCUCAUGAUCUCCCCACCCUGCACCUUGUGAGCCCCGUCCCUGCCCACAAGAGAUAACCACCUUUAACUGUAAUUUUCCACUACCUACCCAAAUCAUAUAAAACUGUCCCACCCCUAUCUCCCUUUGCUGACUUCUUUUUCAGACUCAGUCUGCCUGCACCCAGGUGAUUAAAAAGUUUUAUUGCUCACACAAAGCCUGUUUGGUGGUCUCUUCACAUGGACUCGUGUAACAUUUGGUGCUGAAAAACCUGGGACAGGGGAUCUCCCUCAGGAGAUCAAUCCCCUGUCCUUGCCCUCUCUCCGUGAGGAGAUCCACCUAUGACGUCGGAUCCUCAGACCAGCCCAAGGAACAUCUCACCAAUUUUAAAUCGGGUAAGUGGCCUCUUUUUAUUCUCUUCUCCAAGCUUUCUUGCUAUCUCUCCACCCUUCAAUCUCUCCCUUCCUUAAUUUCAGUUCCUUUCCCUUUCUGGUAGAGACAGAGGAGACACAUUUUAUCCGUGAACUCAAAACUCCAGUGCCAGUCAUGGACUCGGGAAGACAGUCUUCCCUUGGUGUCUAAUCACUGCGGGGAUGCCUGCCUGAUUAUUCACCCAUAUUUCAGAGGUGUCUGAUCACCACGGGGAUGCCUGCCAUGAUCCUUCACCUUGGUGGCAAGUACCACCUCCCCUGGGUGGCAA